AGGGCCUGAUGAGCACCGUGCCUCUCCCUGCAGAGGAGAUGGAUCGCAGCCAUUUCUGGGCAGCACAGAGAAGCCGAUGCAGAGAAAGGGUCUUGAAACCUGCGGUGCUCUGGGCAGCAUGCGCUGCUUAUCACGGUGCCUGGCAAGGCCAAGUCACGUCCACGCCAUUAAACAAGUGCAGCUGGACUAGGCCUGGCCCCCGGCCACACCUCCCUGGACUGGAUUCACUCACUCGCCCAUUCAGCAAACCUGCGAGAGUCAGCCCCAAACCACUCUGGAACCUGAGUUCACAGCCCGGGUCCAAAGAAAAAUUAAGAUGCUUCUUCCCACAAGUUCUCGCCCGGUCUCUGGGCCACGACUCCACACUCCACCGCCAGCCCAAGCAGGAUUUCCCGGGGGCCCAGGGCCCAGGGAACACCAACAGGGAAAAGCAUAACUGACCCAUUUCUGCAGGGUCUCACUGAGUUGCUUAGGGCCUCGCUAAGUUGCUGAGGCUGGCUUUGAACCUGAUCCUCCUGUCUCAGCCUCCCAAGCCACUGGGGAUGACAGGCGUGUGUCCCUGCCUGUGUCUUUCUUUCUGCUUUGCCACGGGGCCUGCCCUGAAAGUGCAGCAUUCUCAGGAGGACCCUGGAGGACUGCUCAGAAGGUCAGCCGGACAAGGGUUGACCGUGAAGCCUGCCCUGGUCGUCGGGAUCCCGCUGCCCAGGGAGCUGCCGCCCAUACUCUUGUUCUCAGGCCAGGCCCAGGGUGACCUGGACGCUGCAGAUGGCUGUGGGAGUUCCCCAGUGACAAAUGCAUUUCUCCAAUCGAAUGCACAGCCUCCCAGCAGGCGGUA